rnacentral:guide_RNA from 1 species
ACUCUCAUAAUUGGUUUCAUAGAGAUAGAAGAUUAAUUAU